rnacentral:rRNA from 1 species
CGCGUAGGCGGCCGAUCAAGUCGGAGGUGAAAUCCCUCGGCUCAACUGAGGAAUUGCCUCCGAUACUGUUCGGCUUGAGUCCUGGAGAGGGUAGUGGAAUUCCCAGUGUAGCGGUGAAAUGCGUAGAGACUGGGAAGAACACCAGUGGCGAAGGCGGCUACCUGGACAGGUACUGACGCUGAAGCGCGAAAGCUAGGGAGCAAACA